rnacentral:rRNA from 1 species
GAUGAACGCUAGCUACAGGCUUAACACAUGCAAGUCGAGGGGAAACGACGUCGAAAGCUUGCUUUUGAUGGGCGUCGACCGGCGCACGGGUGAGUAACGCGUAUCCAACCUGCCCACCACUUGGGGAUGACCUUGCGAAAGUAAGACUAAUACCCAAUGAUAUCUCUAGAAGACAUCUGAAAGAGAUUAAAGAUUUAUCGGUGAUGGAUGGGGAUGCGUCUGAUUAGCUUGUUGGCGGGGUAACGGCCCACCAAGGCAACGAUCAGUAGGGGUUCUGAGAGGAAGGUCCCCCACAUUGGAACGGAGACACGGUCCAAACUCCUACGGGAGGCAGCAGUGAGGAAUAUUGGUCAAUGGACGAGAGUCUGAACCAGCCAAGUAGCGUGCAGGAUGACGGCCCUAUGGGUUGUAAACUGCUUUUAUAAGGGAAUAAAGUGAGUCUCGUGAGGCUUUUUGCAUGUACCUUAUGAAUAAGGACCGGCUAAUUCCGUGCCAGCAGCCGCCGUAA